CUUUAAAGGUAUGAUGGGGUAGUGAAAGACCCCCAGAGUUGGGAGACCCUCACUCAAGUCUCGGGAUGACGAGACCCCCCAAGAACUCACACAAGACU
rnacentral:pre_miRNA from 14 species